GAUGAACGCUGGCGGCGUGCCUAAUACAUGCAAGUCGAGCGAACAGAUGAGGAGCUUGCUCCUCUGACGUUAGCGGCGGACGGGUGAGUAACACGUGGAUAACCUACCUAUAAGACUGGGAUAACUUCGGGAAACCGGAGCUAAUACCGGAUAAUAUAUUGAACCGCAUGGUUCAAUAGUGAAAGACGGUUUUGCUGUCACUUAUAGAUGGAUCCCCGCCGCAUUAGCUAGUUGGUAAGGUAACGGCUUGCCAAGGCAACGAUGCGUAGCCGACCUGAGAGGGUGAUCGGCCACAUUGGAACUGAGACACGGUCCAGACUCCUACGGGAGGCAGCAGUAGGGAAUCUUCCGCAAUGGGCGAAAGCCUGACGGAGCAACGCCGCGUGAGUGAUGAAGGUCUUCGGAUCGUAAAACUCUGUUAUUAGGGAAGAACAAAUGUGUAAGUAACUAUGCACGUCUUGACGGUACCUAAUCAGAAAGCCACGGCUAACUACGUG
rnacentral:rRNA from 1 species